UAAGAUUUGUCUUGGUCACAGUGUCUCUUCACAGCAAUGAGAACCCUAAGACAGCCUAUAUUUCAUUUCACACUAUCCACCGCUGUUUGAGUCUAGCGACUAGGUUUUUUAUGACUGGUCAGUUGAUACUCAUGUGGUUAAAGCACCUUACCCACUGAAUGAGAUUUCUUAUUCUUCCUUAGUCCUUAUGAAAGGGACGAGGCAAAGAGAUCCUAAGUGAAGGUGCUUGCUGCAAAGCCUAGAAGCUUGAGUUGGAGCCUUGAGACCCACAUGGAGAAGAGGGCCAAUUUUCUCAAUUUGUCCUCUGAGUUCCAUGUUCAUGCUGGGGCACCAUGCUAGUGGCUGAGAUGUACCAUUGGACAGGACACUCUGCAUGCUCACAUUGCCCACAGCUUCCUUCAAAGCAAGCUGCCAGCUCCUUAUGCAAAGGCCAUCUGAGUCUGCUUUCUUAUAGAACCCAGGACAGCCAGCCCAGGAAUGGAACCACCCACUGUGAGCUGGGCCUUCUUCCAUCGAUCACUAAUUGAAAAAAUGCCUUACAGCUGGAUCUCAUGGAGCCAUUUCCUCAAGGGAGGCUCCUUUCUCCCUGAGGACUCUAACUUGUGUUAAGUUGACACACACAACCAGCCAGUACAGGCGGGAAAAGAGAAGCAGGACAAAGUGGAUCAGCUUGGCAGGUAAAAGAUGCUUGCUGUGCCAGCCAGACAACCCGAGUUGGAUCCUCAGAUCCUACAUAAAAAUGCUAGACAUACAUCUGCAACCUGAGCACCCCUACUGUGGCCUGAAAGCUUGCAGGAUUGUGGGACAGCGGGCUUGGAGUGUGUGGCACAUCAGAAACAAGGGAGAUCCUGCAUUAAAGAGUGGUAGAAGAACCGACUCCUGGAAGUUGUCCUCUGACCACACACACACAUUCAGGGGCACCUGUCUCCACACUCAGACAUCAUGCUCAUACACAUGAGCAUGAUAUACAGUA